rnacentral:rRNA from 1 species
CCCUUAGAUGUUCUGGGCCGCACGCGCGCUACACUGAUGCAUGCAACGAGUUUAUAACCUUGGCCUGAAAGGUCUGGGUAAUCUUUUGAACGUGCAUCGUGAUAGGGAUAGAUUAUUGCAAUUGUUAAUCUUGAACGAGGAAUUCCUAGUAAACGCAAGUCAUCAGCUUGCAUUGAAUACGUCCCUGCCCUUUGUACACACCGCCCGUCGCACCUACCGAUUGAAUGGUCCGGUGAAAUCUUGGGAUCCUGUGAGACGGUCUUUAUUGUACUGUUUUGUGGGAGAACUUGAGUAAACCUUACCAUUUAGAGGAAGGUGAAGUCGUAACA